GACGAACGCUGGCGGCGUGCUUAACACAUGCAAGUCGAACGGAAAGUCCCUGCUUUUGUGGGGUGCUCGACUGGCGAACUGGUGAUUAACACUUUAGUUACCUGCCCUUGACUUUGGUAUAUCUUCAUGAAACUUGGUCUAUUACCUCAUAGGAUCUCCUGCUGCAUGGUGGGCGUUGGUAAGUUUCGGCGGUUGGGUAUGUACUCGCGGCUUAUCCGCUUGUUGGUGGGGUAGUGGCUUACCAAGGCUUUGACGGGUAGCCGGCCUGAGAGGGUAAGCGGCCACAUUGGGACUGAGAUACGGCACAGACUACAACGGGAGGCAAGAGAGGGGAAUAUUGCAGAAUGGGAGGAAGGAAGAUGCAGAAAAGCAGCGUGCGGGAAGACGGCCUUCGGGUAGUAAACCGAAUUCGCAUGAGAAGAAGCGAGAGUGACGGUAAUGGGUAAAGAAGCACCGGCUAACUACGUG
rnacentral:rRNA from 1 species